rnacentral:rRNA from 1 species
GACGAACGCUGGCGGCGUGCCUAAUACAUGCAAGUCGAACGAACGGAUUGAGGAGCUUGCUCUUCAUGAAGUUAGUGGCGGACGGGUGAGUAACACGUGGGUAACCUGCCCUUCAGUGGGGGAUAACAUCCGGAAACGGGUGCUAAUACCGCAUAUUUCUAAUCGUCUCCUGACGAAUGGAAGAAAGGUGGCUUCGGCUACCGCUUAUGGAUGGACCCGCGGCGUAUUAGCUAGUUGGUGAGGUAAUGGCUCACCAAGGCGAUGAUACGUAGCCGACCUGAGAGGGUGAUCGGCCACACUGGGACUGAGACACGGCCCAG